UCUGGACAGUAUUUUUGGGCUGCUUGGAACAGCUGAUUCCCACCACUUUCCUCAGCCAGCCUUGUUCCUCAUUAUAUAUAACCUUAAAACCUUCUUCCUCUUCUUCCUCCUGUUGCCUUAUUCUUACACUUUGCCUUCUCUGACCCAUUUCUGCACUUUUUCUUUCCCCAUCCUUUUGCAGUCAGGUCAGAGGGAUACUUUCCUACCUCUAGGACACUGAUUUCUGGUUGUCAUCUGUGAGUAACGUUUCAGUUCCUUCCUCAUGAUUCUGUCCCUAGCUUCAUAUUUCUGCCAAGGUCAUAUGAAGCACAUGAGCAGACAUUUCUGCAGCCAGGGGUUGGUCUGCAGGCUGAGGGACUGGAGGGGUUUGUUUAUCUGUGUGGAAACCAGUCCAGUGCCUUGGUGUGUGUGUGUGUACCCUUCACAUCUGUCAGGCUGCUGCCACCUUCAUAUGUGUGCUGUCUCGUGUGUUGGGAGGGCAUUUUUCCCCUUUCCUUCUUCCUCUCGGUAUCGCUAACUUCAAAGAGAUUCUGUUCUCCAUAUCUGUAGAUGAAAAUAGUUGAAUACGUGAUGUGAGCAGGGCUGACCUCUGUAAUGACAGUGGGUCACAGGGUCAGGAAGGUGACCAGUUUUGUUCCCUGGUCAAAGGAAACUUGUUGCAGCCUCUGUUGGAAAAGUCUCUGCAAGAAGACGUGUAAUGAGAAAACUAGUCAAGGUAGGGCUGCAGUGCCUCCAGGGACUUUGAAGUCCAUCCAAGCUAAAGAACUUGAUGGCUGAAAUGUGGACUUUGAACUCAUUUAAUAAUCUGACCUUGAUUCUCUCUUAGACUGAGUGAACCCUUCUAGACUAGACCCUGGCUAGUGGCAUGGACGCAGCCACUGUUGAGCAAGUCCCUGAUGUCUUCAUAUACUUUAUAACAUUUAUUUAGCAUAUGAAACCCUGGGUCAGACCUGCUUCUGGAUCUCAGGAGUAAACUUCUCCCCUGCCUGCAUUGUGAAGCCUCAGGUUUGCACUACUUACCACCUAAGCCCUGCUUCAGAGUUUACUACUGGUGAGGACUUGAAGACAGUGAGGACUUUGGGUAGGUUUGAUGAGAAUAAGAGCAAAGUCACAGACGAGCUUAUCCUCAGGUGUCCAAAAUUUAGCUCCUUUCUGUUAAUGUGAUAGGAAAGUGAUAGCUUGCUGUAUGGGUGGAAAUAAUGAAAGUUAUGGGGCUCAGCUGUUAAGCUGAUGCCUCUGCUCAGACAGUACAAAUACCCACCAAGCCCUCAGGAGAGCUUUCUUUGCUUUGCUGAGUCUGGUGGGAGCUGCAGGUCAUUGUUCAUCCUCCAUCAGUUCACCAAGGUUCUGCUGUCCCAGGAUGUGUGUAUGAGUCAUUGUCUGGAAAUCCAAGUGGCCAGAUGUCCGCCAGAUCCUUGCUGAACUCUUGGAGCUGCUAACUUCAGCAGAAAAGGGUGAAGGAAACGUGGCCGUUCCUUCCCUUGCGGAGGUGGUUUGCAGCUCUGGGCUCCAGCUGGGUGCAGACAUGGAAUAGUAACAAGUCCAUGGGAAAGGCUCAUCUUCUCACAGCCCUUACAGCAGCACUCCAGGCUCAGUGUGAACUUCCCAGAGCACUGUGGUGGAGCUGAAACCCUUGCUGAUGCUGCCAGGAACCUUUUUCAGGGAAUAAUGUGACAGGAUGGAGAUGAUGCGUGAGUGAACCCAAACUGAGUUCAAGGUCUUCAUGUGUGGGACUGUCCUGUUAAGACUUGACUGUGGCUUAACUGGGUGCGACUAGUGAGAGGGAAGCUGUCCCCGAGCAGAACUUCAUCCUAUAUUUUACCUCCUGCAUGGAUUAAGCUCUUCCUCCAAUAAGACUUCACCAAAUGAAUAUGGCCAAAGUGUAGAUGUAUGUGUGGAGGUGCCUCCAGUCUGAUUCCAACCCUGGUGCGGGAAGGUCUGAACACCUUGGCAACUCACGUACAACCUGCCUAUUUUGCCAGAUCUUUCCUACUUGACUCUCACCUCUGUGUUCCUCCAUGUAUGUGCAAGUUAUAAAGUAAAUGACUGUGUGAACGGGAAGAAACUGAAAGGUACAAAUGGUUUGGAACAUGAGUAUAUUAAGGAAAAGCUAAUGAGAGAAAAUUUGCAUGAGAAUGUCAAUAAAUAUUGUCUACAUGCUUUUGACUGGCCAACCCGAAAUGUUUCAACAAUGGAAACAAAUUGGAUGUUUCAUUCAACGUAGUGCCUUUCAUCAGUCCUGAAUUCUAUCUAAAAAUAACAUUAUAUUAACAUGUUUUUAAAGCACCUUUUCCUAACAUGAUCCAGGAAGCUGUGAAAAACCAACUUGCAAUAAUCUUGAAACCUAUGCAGGGCCAAGGCGGAGAAAAGGAGCCAAAACUUUGGGCAGAGAAAACUAGAAAAUCUAAAGAGAAGAGCCAGGAAGAAGCGAGAAAAGAUAUGUUAAUGGAAAAAUCUACCUCUAAAGCAACAUGCUGUCCAGAAAUGGCUUUUUUUUUUUUUUUUUCUUUUCGUAGAGAAAUCUUCAUGUCAAACCAAUGCAAUGCUUUGUAUAUUUAUCCAGUUUUCUCAUUGAAAGAAUACUCUAGCUGUAGAGAUAACACUUUGUGCCAAAAAGCAAUUGUCUCUGGAGCUCCCUCAAAUAAAGAGCUUGGUUAUUCUGUUAAUGGAAUAUGAGAUUAGGGACUUUGGGUUAAAUACAGCAUAGAGCAGCAGCAAUGUUCAGCUCAGAUCCCUGACUUGUUUUAGUGUGAUUGGUUAAUCCAUGAAUCAAGGAAACCAGGUGUUUAAAUUCCACAUUCUUGAUAAGGAAACAAGUGUCCACUUGUUAUCUGAACUACGGUGUCACUUAGGGAGUGGGAAACCUCCUCAUGUAAGCUGUCAAAGCAAUCCAUACCCAAAGCAAAUAUCUUUGCUACAUCAUCGCUACUUGAAACUAUCUGAAAAUGCAGUAAGUCGCAUGUAGGACUGUGUCUUCCAAGGUAAAUAUUUUAAUUGUGAAAUAAAAUGAACCUGAGGGCUCCAGCAUACCAAAGCUGACCUUCUUUGCUAGCUCUAUUGUACUGUGGAACAGUAAGCAUUCAGAAAUAUGCUCCAAUGGGUGGGAUGGGCAAGGGAGACUGUAUUUCUUUUUAUUCCUUUUCUAGCUUGGUGCCAAUAUACAUAAAGAGGGAUGGUCUGGAUUUUCCUGUCAUUCACUCUGUCACUCCAAACCAAAUGUUGUUGUUGAGGUUCAGCUGAAAGGUUUUGGACCCUGAACGAGCCUUUAGGUGAAAUUUUAUGGCUUUCAUUUUCACUUAAAUCAGAUCACAGAAAUUAUUCCACUUGAGAUUUUUUUUGUUGCUGCUUUAGGUAUAUGUCUUCUUUUGGGUAUCCAUCACAUACACUGGGCACCGGUGACCCAUCCAGCAGUGUCUCCCAGUGUAUGGAGAAACAGGAUCACUGGAGGCCACCUCUGAAGGCAAGUUACAGUAAAGUGUAGCUGAAGAAAGUAUCUUUUAAGAAAAUGGUAACUCCAAAGUUUGCGACAAUUCUAUUCUGAGCAAACUGACAUGUGAAAUACUGACAGCAAAGAUAAAUAUAGUAGUAGUGCAGCAGGAGAGCUGAGAAUGAACAGUGGCAUAUUCCACCAUGACACUCCCUGACAUCCUGAACAGCAUCAGUGGAGAAGUCCCAAGAUUUGCCCUGUGUGGAUUCAAAAACGCUGAUGGAGCCUGAGGUGAGUUCCAAGGCACAGGCUUCUCCAUUCUUGAAGUUGGUUUCCACUGGGCUCGAGGUCCUCCCCAAAGAUUUUUCAGAUCUGGUAGUACAGGAUCAGAAGCUCAUUAUAAAGUUAGUCUGUUCCUCUUUUUGUAUUUCUGCACUGUUAGUGUUUGUUGAGGCUCAUCAGGACUUCUUUUUGAAUGUAGGAAUGCUGAACUUUGCUCUACUUUUUCUCCUUUAGUAACAUAUGGAGCAGCCCAUACUUGUAAAAUAAAUGGACAAGAAAGAAUAGCCCUUAGGUCAGCCAAGAUUUAGAAGGGGAAGAGCUUAAUUUGUUACUAUGACAGCAUUUUGUUAUGCUUUUAAAUUUAAGAUAUAUCCUUAAUGGUCCACCAGUAGAAGGUAGAAUCCACUGCAAGGAUAAGAAAGUAGUUUCCUUCUACUGACUUAAACCUCUUUAGUGAGUUUAGCUUAUAAUUUUGGGAUGGUGGACAUGACGUAGCUUCAGACAUAGCUCUUGCUUGUGCAUCUAGUGGAGGCCUCUAUUUUGUUAAGUUCCAUAGAUGUUCAUUCUACUUCUCUAGGUAAGAACACAUAACUGCAAUGUGAAUGAUUAUUGAAGAUUCAGGGAGGAAGGAAUAUCAGCUAACUGCAGAAACUUUUAUUUCCUUUUGCUUUUCUCUGCUUAUUCAAUAAUAAACCCAAGAUUGCUACAAAUAGAGAUUGCAUCUGGUCCCCUCAUUUUUUUUGCAUUAUCUAUGCAUCUAGACACAUUAAAGUAAACUCCACAUAUUUGAGAACAAAACCUCUCUCUCAGAGAAAUUUUAUGAUACACCUUUGUAUGAUAUUAUACCAAAGCAGAGAAAAUGUUUAUGGGAGAGUUAACCAAGCAAUAUGUGUAUAUAUGAGCACAGCUAUGCACGUAUGUGAGCUCUCUCUGCAGGAUAAAAAGUUUUUGUGAUGGUUUAAGAAAAUGAUGGGCUACCAGGGGGACUGGAUAGCAACAGUUUUCUGAAUAGCUGUGCUUUUCCCAGAUGGCAUUUAGAGGUAACCUUCCACUGCUGAAGCAAGAAAUAAAUAAAAAUGCAGCAAAAUUUCUCUGAUGGGGAUAGUUUGGAUUCUGGGUCAUGUGACUGGACUGGUUGCUUUAGGAGCUUUGCAUUAAGGAAGUGUCUCAAGAGCAACACACUGCAAAUCACUGCUGGAUUCAGAGACUGCUAGGCACUGCAAUUAUCUAAUGUUUGUAGAAUCGAGGGAAUAGAAAAAAUAGUCACAUUACAGCUGCCCUGUGUCUCAAAGCUUGUUUGGAAACACUUUUAAUUGCUCUAUCUAUCAUGCCAUUCAUUUGGAUUAAGAACGGCUAGUGCUGUGCGCUGCCCAGAAGCAAUAAUCUCAGCAAGCCCAUGUUCUCUUCACAGCUUCAUUAACCUCUACAAUAAACAGCCAAGGCUUUGCGGUAUAAAUGUUCCUGGAGUAAAUGUUCUGUGACUCUUUGGGUGGGCCAUCUGUCUUCCAAGGUAGCCAUGGGUGAAUGCUAGAUAGUUAUUUCCUAAAGAGGUCAGUACAAAACUCAUUUUUUCAGGGGUCUGCAGAUACUGCAAGUAGUCCUUAGCUCUCCUUAACAUCCAUUCCCAGAACCUACCCCUGGGCUUCUUCCACAGGCUUCAGUGUAAAUGGAAAGACACUCAAAAUCAUGAGUGUGUGCUUGGGAUGUCUGUGUCUUUUAGGGUGGGAGUGAAACAACAGGUUGCAGUUAUUUCCCUAGAAAAUAGACGGUGCUUUUUGACAUGCUGCAUCUUGCUGAAUUUGGCAUCACACUGCCGUGUGCCCUAGCUGGAGGGAAGAGCUGGGUGGAGAGACCUCAUGGAAAGAUCUCCUGGAUAAGGUUCCCUUCUCACCUGAGAAGUGCUUUGAGGAGCAGAAAAGGGAAGAAUAACCCAACCACUGAUGGACUUGGGCUGAUGACCCACAAACAGGGUUUGGGAACUGCAUGCUCAGAUGGUCCUCUUGGGCAGUAGCUAAACUGGCACUUAAGACAACAGGUUCCAGGUAGGAAAAAAACAAAAAAAGAAAAAAGCCCAAAGAAACAAACAAUCCAAACAAAAACAAUUAAACAAACACAACCAACGAACCAAAGACACAAAAGAAAACAAACCAAACCAAAACCACACAUGCACAAAAACCCCCAAACCACAAAACCAGUAAAUAUAUUAACAGUGAUGGGAAAAUACUCUGUCACAAAAUGGAGUAAUAUGGAGGACAAUGUGUGGCACCGGCCCCUGUGGUUAUCUGGGCUUGAUGAGAACAGGAGGGAGAGUUGAUUUAUUAGGUUAGGUUAAAAGUGAAGUUGAGGGAGGGAGUUUGUGGUGUCCACGUGGGCUUUUGGGUGUGAAGCUGUCCCUCAAGCUUUUAGGGUUAUUGCUUUGUAAAUAGUCCCAUGAUAGUCCCUGUAACACUGCCCUCUUGCCAGCUCUGCUAAGGCUCUUUAGGGAAAAAAUCCACAGGUAAAAUAUGCAAUAUCUGAUUUGGUUGAGACUGAUUCAGGCUGUAAUAAGAUUGCAUGCUGGCUAGAGCUGAACUAGCUUGUUAAUGUAGCACUGUUGCUGCUUUCAUAAAUUAUUUUAAGUUCAGCUUGUGGCAAACAACAAAAAAUGGAAGGAAAAUUUAUUAAUGCUUUGGGCUCACAAUACAGAUUUCACCAUUGGUAUUUGAGUCAUUAAAUAACAAUUGGAAAUAACUUUUGCAGGGAGAAAUUGCAAGAUAUAUUCAAGUUUCUACUUAGGCAAAGCUCCUUUCUAAAUCUAACCUCUUUGUCUCUUGUGUUCAUCCAGGUACUCACAGGAGUUUCCAUCAGCCAACCUUAACUCAGCUGCCUAAUAGGACUACUUGUGGAUUUUGAAUUUCUUCUUUCUUUUUCUGAAAUACUUUAGAAGUCAAUCUGAGUCUUGAGAGGAACUAGUCCAUGGGAUAGCAACAAGUUGUUUAAUACACAAGCUACUGGAAAAUAGGCAGGACAUCUUCGUUUAGCUGAUGAAAGCAGAGAUGGCAUCUUCUAAAUUCUCUGGGCCUUUAGCCAAAUUCAUCCCAAAGAUAAUGGGUACCACAGGUAAUUUAAUGAACAAAGAGCCUCUCCCUGCAGCUAUGUGCAACUGCUGAUGGUUACUUAAUCCUGCAGCUGCACACAGUUGCUGAUGGUUUCAUGAUCCUAUCUCCAGUUAUCUCAACAUGGUCCAGUUGCCUCUUUUACACUGUGAAACGUCUUGCUUGUUGUGUAUUAUGGACUAUCUUGUGGCUGGACACUGUCUUACAGGCCAUUUAUCUUCCUUUGCUCUAGAACUAAUUGAAUUUCUCUUGAUUUGAUUCCCCUGUGCUUAUACAUUUUUCUAAUGUACUGAGGAAUUUCUCUUGAGCAGGCAAGGGUAGUUGGUGAAUUAGGUGAGUCUUCUUAGUAUUUCUGAGCAUCUUUGUGAGAAGAAUCCGCAGUCAUCCUCCUCACUGUUCUUUCUCCCUCUUGUUAUUAUACUAUAUUUUUACAAGCAGUGAGAUCAUGCAUUCAGAGAUGUUGUCUUGAUGUAAACUUGUAUCUAUUAAUAUGUCAGUAUGAACUAUUUCACAUCAGCUUUCGUCAGCAAACUAGGGUGUUCCCAUUCUUUCAUGUGUGCUUUCCUUGUGGAAUUUUCCAACAAUGAAACAAAAUAUAUGUCAGGCAGGAUUUAUAUCUAGGUUGUAAAUCUCUUUUUGUAAUCACCUCACAUUUUCCCCAGAUAUUUCAUGGUCUCACACCAUUUUAGUUCUCCUUAUGUCUUGUCUAGGAAAGACUUUACUGAUCUGUUUGUUAGGUACUGGUUGCCAUUUGUUCCCCUCUCUUUAAACUCUGGAUCACGUUAAGUGGAUCUGUGGAAACCAAGAAAUAUUACUGGUUUGCCCGAGGUCAUUAGCAUCUGUGUUUAGAUCCUAGGAAUUCUUACUUGGAGUCCUUUACUCUAGUUGUGAGAAAUAACAACAUAGUACCUAUAUUGUAAUUUUAAUCUGUAGAUCUUGAAAUUCUUCAUAAACGUCUGUCAAAUAUUCACAGCUUCUCUAUGGGAAGGUAAAAGCCCAUGUAAGUGAAAGGUCCAAGUCUCUAAAGAGACUAAAGGAAUGGCCUGUCCCUUUCCUCCAUCCCAAAAUGCUUUGGAUCCACAUCUCUGAGUGAGAUGCCCAGAAUUCCAGUAUAACGUGCUGGAAGACCUUGGGAUAUCAGUGUAAUACACGAAAGCCAGAAUAUGGAGUAGAAAGCAACUUAGUUUAACAAAGGGUUAAGGGUUUACACAGAUGCCUCUCUGGGUGGGGGAGUGUUUAGGUAUCUUAUUUGCUGCUCCUGGAAAUGAUUUUUUUGGUUGUUCUUUUCAAAUACUUAAGCUGCUUUUUGUGGUUUCUGAACAAGGUAGCAAAAAAGCUACUUGAAUUUUUGACUUGGUAAUUCCCUACAGUAACUACACAUUCUUGAUUCCCGGUGUUUUGCUCAAACCCCUGGAACACAGUUCCUCUGAACUCAGGCCCUCUCUCAUUUUGUUUUCAAAUUCAUAUCUUAACGGAAGGAAGGAAGGAAACAUGCACAAGAACAAACAGGUCCUAUGAAUGACUAAUGAUUUAAAGAUGAAAAAAGCUUACCAAAUAUCUUAGCAAAAGCAGAAGAAAUUUGAAGAGCUGAGCCAUAGGGAAGGUCAGACCAGGCACUCCAACUGAUUCUGGAAUGUUCUGGAUUAUGGACAGAAAUGAGUGUAUGUUUCGGUUGUUUGAACAUCCUUGUAAUUAACAGCUGAGUACCUCCUAUAAAGCGGCACAGAGUAUUCGAAGAGCAGUGAUGACCUGGUAUGUCUGCACUCAAGGUAUCUGUCUCUUGAGGUUUAUUCUCCUGGAACAACGAUGGCAUUUCUGUUUCCUCUUUGGAGACUGUAUAAUUUUAUUUUUUUAUUCCAGUUUUUAAAUCUAGCCUGAAGUCAUUCAGUCUAGGUGGUAAGUGGUCUGGGAGGUGAGUCCUUUGAUUUAACUCCAUGAAAACAAGUGAAUUCAGCUUCAGGGUUGAAACUGGCUACUCAAGAAUACACAACAUACAUUUGCCCCAAGAAUGGCUGGGGUUGUAGCCCUCACUAAAGUCUUGUUAGUCUUAGGCUCUGGAUUUGGCCAACAACUUGUUUAACUCUCAUUAGAGCAAUUAGCAGCUGUACAAAUAGAGGUUUUCCUUUUAAACUCCUCAGCCUCCUGUCAUUUCAGUGGGGAUUAAUGAUGUUGGAUUUGAUCCUUUUUGGCUCCACUCUUCAGCUGCUGCAGAGGUUUACCUGUUAUUCCUUAAGCCUGAUUUGUGAAACUCUGGAAGGUUGUUGCAAAUCUUGAGGGCUGAGGAUUUUGAGAUUUUCUUCAGUUCAUGCAAGCGGACACUGAACUAGAGGAGGCUCAAUCUUGACAUGGAGCAGAGCAGACUCGUCCAAGUGCUGACUUGCUGGAAUUAAGGUAAAUGUGUUGGCACAGUGCUCUGCAUUGACCCAGUGAAGAAGACUCUGCUGAGCGUAGGACACAUCCAACAGCAGUGGAUGCUGAUGCCCCAGAGCAUCCCAUGGAAUGUGCACUCUCCUUCACUGCUGCUCACACCCAGAAAUAAGACUCCACAGACUUACAAAGUUCUUUUCAAUUCUGUUCUCUUAGUGUCUGGGACCAAUAAUGAACUUUGAAUUCCCUGGGAUAAUUAGGCAUAGUCUGAAAAAGCCAAAAAGGAAUUUGCCUCUAUUUAGAAGUUCUCUUUCACAGAACUAAUAAAUCUACCUGGGAUUUUAGGAUCAUCUACAUGCUUCUUUUUCUUCUUAAUCACUCAAACUUUGGUUUCACUGAUAAAUAUCUUGCCUUUUCACAUCAUAUUGUUUAACCAACCUUUUUUUUCAUAUGCUAUUCAAAAUCUAGGUCCCUACCACCAGUAAGUGAUAAGAAAAACACUUGAUUUCUUUCCAAGCUCAGAAAAACAGAGAAAUUCCCACUCUACCAGCUUUCUGAGAAGAAUGCAGUGACUACAUUUCUUUUUUGUUUCCAAAUUUUGCUCAUAACCUUGCUGUAUUGCAAAUUCAAAAAACUAUUCUUUUCAGCCCUGGCACCAAACUAAUUUAAUUUCCAUAUUUUCAUUAUCUUCCUAUUAACCACUAGGGCUCUGCAACAAAGAAGCUAUUAGAAAUAUAUAAUGCUACAGCCAUUCCGUGCUACAAACUCUCUGGGGCACUUCGAUAAAUUACAUCCUCAUAAUGAAGAAGUAGCGGGGAAAGGGUGGCAACAAUAGAUUUCUUUUUUUUUUUUCCACAAUAGAAUGAAAUUGGGAUUUGAUCUGAUGCAACAUGCCUUGCUCACAGCUCAGAUAGAAUAUCAAAUCAUCCCUGCAAAAUUUAAACCUUGCUAUAAUCCCCCCAUUGUAUCCAUUGUUCUGCCGAAAGUUUGAAGACUAUAUGUAUAAUAGUUUACUAAUGGGGAUUUAGUUGAUAUAGUGUUGUGGUUUUUUUUUUUUUAACUUACUCAAUUUAAUUAUCCUCAGCCUAGAGUCUAAUUUAUGUGUGUUUGAUGUCACUAUUCAUUAGCAGUACAGAUACACCAACCGUAAAAAAAAAAUGCAGCUGGGUUCCCGUCUUAAACAAACUGCACUUGGUUAUAUACUGGACUUGUGUUACAGAAUGGGUUUGGAACAACACCCUCAGUAAAAUUACUACCUAGAGAAGCAUAAGAAUAUGAAUUUGUAUAAGAAAUGUCUGUAAAAGUUGUUGUAUCAAAAGGACACAGUUUAGUUCUGUGCCAGGACACAUAUCUGAUUCAUUAGCUGUCACUUAGAGGAGAGACAGACAGACAGACCCUGAACUAGAGUUAUGAUUUUCAAGGUCACUGGCCAGAUUGAAAAACUGGCAAUACGUUAAAUUGUGGGUUACUGUGAAAUGGAUUUGUUUGGGUUUUUUUCCCUCCCUUAAAUGAAAAUUCCUUACAAUGUUUUUAAACAAAUGUAAGGUUUUGUAUAUCCAAAAUAAAAUAUUUGGGUUCUUUUUUGUUUAAGCACAAACUGUGAAAUGAAGGUCGCUUCCAUCUGAAUAAAAAACAUUUUCAAAAUG